UACAGAGGUCUCAAGCGUUGUUCGGAUUCAUUGGGCGUAAAGGGUGCGUAGGCGGCGCGGUAAGUCGGGUGUGAAAUCUCGGAGCUUAACUCCGAAACUGCAUUCGAUACUGCCGUGCUUGAGGACUGGAAAGGAGACUGGAAUUUACGGUGUAGCGGUGAAAUGCGUAGAUAUCGUAAGGAAGACCAGUGGCGAAGGCGGGUCUCUGGACGAGUU
rnacentral:rRNA from 1 species